rnacentral:lncRNA from 1 species
ACUAAAGACUGCAGACGAGAAAGGGAAGACAGGGGUUUAACCAGCAAUUCAAAGUGAGGUGAUCAGCCUUCCGUUGACAGAGUUAACUGCGUGUGAAAGUGCUGUUAAGGCCCUUCAGUGCAAGAUUGAAGUGAAGUGAUGAUAUUGGACAUCUUUGACUUCAAAGGAAUGCUUUGAAAAUCUCAUCAUUAGAUAAGAUUGUUUGCAGUGAAUUUUUAAAAAAUUUGUAAUUAGCCUUUAUCAGAUUGAGGAAGCUCCAUUCUAGUUCUAGUUUGUCAUGAGUUUUUAAUUUUUAUCAUGAAUGGAUUUUAAAACUCAGAUGCUAUCUGAGUU